UACGUAGGGUGCGAGCGUUGUCCGGAAUUAUUGGGCGUAAAGGGCUCGUAGGCGGUUUGUCGCGUCGGGAGUGAAAACACUGGGCUUAACUCAGUGCCUGCUUUCGAUACGGGCAGACUAGAGGCAUGCAGGGGAGAACGGAAUUCCUGGUGUAGCGGUGAAAUGCGCAGAUAUCAGGAGGAACACCGAUGGCGAAGGCAGAUCUCUGGGCCGUUACUGACGCUGAGGAGCGAAAGCGUGGGGAGCGAACAGG
rnacentral:rRNA from 1 species